rnacentral:misc_RNA from 1 species
GAAAUGCGAUAAGUAAUGUGAAUUGCAGAAUUCAGUGAAUCAUCGAAUCUUUGAACGCACCUUGCGCUCCUUGGUAUUCCUUGGAGCAUGCCUGUUUGAGUAUCAUGAAAUCUUCAAAGUAAAUCUUUUGUUAACUCAAUUGGUUUCUACUUUGGUAUUGGAGGUCUUUGCAGCUUCACACCUGCUCCUCUUUGUUCAUUAGCUGGAUCUCAGUGUUAUGCUUGGUUCCACUCGGCGUGAUAAGUUAUCUAUCGCUGAGGACACAGUAAAAGGUGGCCAAGGUAAAUGCAGAUGAACCGCUUCUAAUAGUCCAUUGACUUGGACAAUACUUUUAUGAUCUGAUCUCAAAUCAGGUAGGACUACCCGCUGAACUUAAGC